rnacentral:lncRNA from 1 species
AUGACAUCCUAUCUAGUAAUAUGUACUACACUUCAAUUUUUUUUUUUUUUCAAAAUUAACAUGACAGGUUUUCUAAUACUUUCAUUUUGGGGGAAAAUGUUAUUUAAUUGGGGCACAUAUCUGAUGAAACAAAAAAUAACAUGCAGAAUUCCAAAAAUAAUCUCUUAAAGUAAUAUGAUACUUACCCUUUAUGUAAUAAGACAUCUAUGAACAACAGUGCAUAACAAUAUUAUGUAUUCACGUUUAUGAGAAACCAAGCAGGAGGCAAAAUGAGUUCAUCUUGUUUUCUAAUCAUGUGCAAUUUCAUGUGGCUGUCUGCAUCGUUUAAAUAAAGUGUUUACAUUAAAUUUAUAAGACUGCAUUGCACUUAAAAUUAUUAUGGAUAGCCAUGCUUGCCCUGUUUUUAAUGAAUGAUGAAUUUUUCCUACUAACAGAGUUACUGUCUUAAAUUGUAUCUGUGAUGUAAAGAGUAUUAAAUUAUAUUUUCAUCUCCUUUCAAUUGCUGCCUUGGAAAGCAAGAAUUCACUUCUUGGAGAAGACUUACAGUAAGUAAAAUUUACUUAAGGACUCAGUGAGGAAUCAGCACGUGAAUCAAGAAUGUAAUAUAAGAAUGGACUAAAAGGAAUGUGAUUAUCAUCAGUACCUUUGUUGAAAUCUAUUACCACCACUAAAAUUUCCAAGGAAAGAUAGGGCCUGUAACAUAGGGAUUCCAUUCAUUUUUAAAUUACUAAAAUCUACCAAUUUAAUGCUUUCAUACUGUUUAUUUUUUCCAAUAGAAAAAUAAAUCUCAUACAUUAGAAGUGGUACACAAAAAACUGGGAUAAAAUUUAUCAGAUUCUUGAUAGCACCAUUUACACAUUCUUAAAGUAAACAUUAAUAUGCACUUUCUUAGAAAGCGAUAUAAAUAUAUAAUACAGGACUUGCUAACCUCUGUUAACCAUCUGAAUACGAUGGAAUAAUCUAUCUCUACUGUGCAGGUAGGCUUGUGCAUGGUGGUGUGGCAAUAUCAUUUUAAAAGUUUGUUACAGAUGUGAUGGGAAGCUGGAAGGAGUCGAAUAAGCAGAAAAAAGAGCUUAGAUCUAUUGUAAGCAAUGAGUCGAAAUGAGUCGUUACAGGUUAGAAUUUAUCUUUGUUUCUGAUCAUUCAAUGAGAAAAUGACUUCCACAGAAAUAGAUACAUUUAACUGUUUCGGGAGUGGAGUGGGUGAAGUGAAGUAGGAUUGGAAGUCCUACAGGUAAGAGCAAUAACUGGAAGUGCAGACGAAAUUGGUCUUCAGUGCAAAGAGG